GCCAGUGUGGUGUAAUGGUUAGAGUGCUGGACUAAGACUUGGGAGACUGGGGUUCAAAUCCCCACUCAGCCA